GAUUGGGUUAACACACCAACCCUCCCUCUUACGGUCGAUUAAGAUUUAUUAGAAAUUGAGCUGGUAGCAAGAACACAGCAGCAUGCUAUACGAGCUGUGACCUCGCUACUUGGUGUACUCCAUUGCCCAGAAGUCGGCGUAGAUGUAGGUGGCCUUGACGCCGGUAAACCCGGCAGCCCUGGCGAGCUUCUCGAGGUCCCUCAGGUACCUUUCCUUGCCGCCGGGGCUGUACGCCAGCAGGCUCACGUCCACGCUGAUUAACCCCUGCGUGCUGUUUGUGGCGUCCGGGUUCACCGGCAGGAUACACUCCACGUUGAUCACCUUACCAUGCGCCGGCAGUGCGUCGUAGCAGU
rnacentral:lncRNA from 1 species